rnacentral:ncRNA from 1 species
CUCCCAAAUCUUUCUCCUCAGGGCCAUUCUCAAGUCAUUCUUUUACCAAUGGCAGGGAAGUUUUAUGCAAUAAAGUGAAUGACUAGGGAUCUUGGAGCUGAAAUGAUUUCAAUCUAUUCUCAGCCUUUAAGUGGGUAAGUUGCUCAGCUCACUGUUGUGGAGCUGGGCCAUGGAAUUGCACGAGUGGCUCAGUGGGCCACUUUUUGGUAAGAAGACCUGAUGCUGUGGAAUGAAUCAGAUGCCAUGUUAAGGUGCUCUAUACUGAUGUUCACAGAAUCAUAGAAUUGCUCAGGUUGGAAAAGACUUCAAGAUCAUCGAGACCAAGCACAACCUAACUGUACUACCCCAACUCUAACAACCCACCACUAAAUCAUAUCUCUGAGCACCAUUUUCAGAUGGUUUUUAAACACAUCCAGGGAAGGUGACUCAACCACCUCCCUGGUGUAGGAG